rnacentral:rRNA from 1 species
GGGGUGCAGCAGGCGCGAAAACUUUACAAUGCCGGCAACGGCGAUAAGGGAACCUCGAGUGCCAGGUUACAAAUCUGGCUGUCGUGAUGCCUAAAAAGCAUUGCAUAGCAAGGGCCGGGCAAGACCGGUGCCAGCCGCCGCGGUAACACCGGCGGCUCGAGUGGUAACCGUUAUUAUUGGGUCUAAAGGGUCUGUAGCCGGCCGGGUAAGUCUCUUGGGAAAUCUGGCAGCUUAACUGUCAGGCUUUCAGGAGAUACUGCCUGGCUCGAGGCCGGGAGAGGUGAGAGGUACUUCAGGGGUAGGGGUGAAAUCUUGUAAUCCUUGAAGGACCACCAGUGGCGAAGGCGUCUCACCAGAACGGACCUGACGGCAAGGGACGAAAGCUAGGGGCACGAACCGGAUUAGAUACCCGGGUAGUCCUAGCCGUAAACGAUACUCGCUAGGUGUCGGCCACGGUGCGACCGUGGUCGGUGCCGUAGGGAAGCCGUGAAGCGAGCCACCUGGGAAGUACGGCCGCAAGGCUGAAACUUAAAGGAAUUGGCGGGGGAGCACA